UAACCUAUUUUUAUUCAACACAGGCCCUUGC
rnacentral:piRNA from 1 species